rnacentral:rRNA from 1 species
CCGGCGACCGGCGCACGGUGAGUAACACGUAUGCAACCUGCCCUCUUCAGGGGGACAACCUUCCGAAAGGGAGGCUAAUCCCGCGUAUAUCGGUUUCGGGCAUCCGAGAUCGAGGAAAGAUUCAUCGGAAGAGGAUGGGCAUGCGGCGCAUUAGCUAGACGGCGGGGUAACGGCUCACCGUGGCGACGAUGCGUAGGGGUUCUGAGAGGAAGGUCCCCCACACUGGUACUGAGACACGGACCAGACUCCUACGGGAGGCAGCAG